rnacentral:rRNA from 1 species
UACGAAGAGGGCUAGCGUUGUUCGGAAUCACUGGGCGUAAAGCGCACGUAGGCGGAUUGUUAAGUCGGGGGUGAAAUCCUGAGGCUCAACCUCAGAACUGCCUUCGAUACUGGCGAUCUUGAGUCCGGAAGAGGUUGGUGGAACAGCUAGUGUAGAGGUGAAAUUCGUAGAUAUUAGCUAGAACACCAGUGGCGAAGGCGGCCAACUGGUCCGGAACUGACGCUGAGGUGCGAAAGCGUGGGGAGCAAACAGG